rnacentral:rRNA from 1 species
AUUGAACGCUGGCGGCAGGCCUAACACAUGCAAGUCGAACGAGUGGCGGACGGGUGAGUAAUGUCUGGGAAACUGCCUGAUGGCGGGGGAUAACUACUGGAAACGGUAGCUAAUACCGCAUACCAUCAGAUGUGCCCAGCUGGGAUUAGCUUUUGGGUGGGGUAACGGCUCACCAAGGCGACGAGCCCUAGCGGGUCUGAGAGGAUGACCAGCAACACUGGAACUGAGACAUGGUCCAGACUCCUACGGGAGGCAGCAGUGGGGAAGAUUGCACAAUGGGCGCAAGCCUGAUGCAGCCAGGCGGCGUGUAUGAAGAAGGCCUUCGGGUUGUAAAGUACUUUCAGCGGGGAGGCGUUACCCGCAGAAGAAGCACCGGCUAACUCCGUGCCAGCCGCCGAGGUAAUUC